CCCACCUGACCCCAUGCCGAACUCAGAAGUGAAACGCCGUAGCGCCGAUGGUAGUGUGGGGCUUCCCCAUGUGAGAGUAGGGAACUGCCAGGC
rnacentral:rRNA from 1 species